rnacentral:lncRNA from 1 species
UUAUCCUGCCAGGCCAGACACUCUAGUGUCAGCAGUGAAUUCAGCUAGAAUUGUGUGUGUUUUUGGUUUGCAGAACACUUUUCAUCUUGUUCCAUGUUCAUAGCAAUGCUGGGAGGCAGUUGCUUGGAUUAUUCCCCCUUAACAGACGAAGAAACGAAGGCUCAGAGGUAUGACGUGACACUCUCAAGGCCACAGAGGGACAGAGAUCGAGUCAGAGACUUCCACUGAAAGGGAGCUGAAUUUUCCUCCGGCUUAACUAGAUCAUCAUUUAACGGAUUCCCCUUGUCUCCUUCCUCCCCCUUCCUCUUCUUUGAUGUAUCACCAGGAUGCCUUGAAAAGUACAACAGGAAGAGGGGUCAGACUAGCCCUCUAUGGAGGCCAA